UUGCAUUCCCCUCGCGGGCUGCAGCUGCACUCCUCUCUUAUCUGCCCCUUCCCCGCGGUGGCCUGGCGGGCUUCUCCCCACCCCCUCCCUCAGCCAGCCUCUGGCUCUGCCGCCCCAGCCCCGGGGAGCCCAGAGCGGCACAGCAAGUCUGUGGCGGCCCGGCCCAGCGCCGCCUGGAGCAUAGUCCCUCCCUGGAGCCUUCCUGCCUCGGCCGCUUGGUCUCCGGCGGGGGCUGGGCCUGGGCCAGGACAGGAGGAGCGAAACGUCCACAUCAUCGAUGAAAGUGUUUCAUGGAGGCCUGGUACUGAUCCCUGCAGAACUCUAUAGAAACGCCCACGUGCAGUGAUAAUGCUCAUUGACAACUACUUUCAGAGAUCGCUGUUGAAGUCCCCAAAUCCUGAUUUAAAGACUUCAAGUAGCAGAUAAUCCUCCAGC